AUUGAACGCUGGCGGAAUGCUUUACACAUGCAAGUCGAACGGCAGCACGGGGGCAACCCUGGUGGCGAGUGGCGAACGGGUGAGUAAUACAUCGGAACGUGCCCGGUCGUGGGGGAUAACGUAGCGAAAGUUACGCUAAUACCGCAUACGAUCUGAGGAUGAAAGCGGGGGACCUUCGGGCCUCGCGCGAUCGGAGCGGCCGAUGUCAGAUUAGGUAGUUGGUGGGGUAAAGGCCUACCAAGCCGACGAUCUGUAGCUGGUCUGAGAGGACGACCAGCCACCGUGGGACUGGGACGCGGCCAAGCCUCGGCGGGGAGGAGGCAGGGGGGAUUUUUGAACAAUGGGCGCAGGCCUAACCCGCCCAUCCCGGGGGAAGGAGGAGGGCCUUGGGUUUGUAAACUUCUUUUGUAGGGAAGAAAAAGGCUCUGCCAAAUCCCGGGGGCUCAGGAGGGUACCGAAAAAAAAAGCCCCGGUUAACUACGUC
rnacentral:rRNA from 1 species